GAUGAACGCUGGCGGCGUGCUUAACACAUGCAAGUCGAGCGGACGGACGCUACGCUUGUUGGUUGGUCGUGAGGGGCGGAGGGGUGAGUAACACGUGGAUACUCUCCUUAUCAGUCUGGGAUAAUUACGGGAAUGCGGAGCUAAUAGCAUAGGAUAUUCUGAAGCGCGUGGUUGAUAGGUGAGAGACGGCGGUUGUGUCAGUUCUAGAUGGAUCCGCGCUGGAUUAGCUGGUUGGUAAGUUAACGGCCUACCAAGGCUACGAUGCAUAGCCGACGUGAUGGGGUGAUCGGCCACCCUGGAACGGAGCCACGGUCCAUACUCCUGCGGGAGGCAGCAGUAGGGAAUCUUCGGCAAUGGGGGGAAGCAUGGCGGAGCAGCGCCGCGUCAGUGGUGAAGGUCUUCGGAUCGUGAAGAUCUGCUAUUGGGGGUGAACAGCUGUGGAAUUAACUGUGCACAGCUUGACGGUAACUGGUCAGGAAGCCCCGGCUAACUACGUG
rnacentral:rRNA from 1 species